CUUUCCAUGGGCCCAGGAGGGCUCCACUAUCAAGGAGCCCAGGAGCCAGGCCCCAGUCGCGGUUUUCCCUCACAGACCCUUCCACCCACCCUAGGUUACCAUGGUUACUGCUCCGGGUUUCCAGGAGGAGCCAAACCAAACCUGAUGAGAGUUCAGGCUGCAGAGAAGCAGGCAGCAUUAAACCAAACAAAUUUCACAGUAGGAGGGAGUCUGACUAGACCAAAGAGCGAGCUAGCCCCGAAGACGUGUAUGUGUAUGUCUCACAAGCUGUAGCUCUGAGAUCUGGGGGAGUUCAUUGAAAAGACAGGGAAUCUGAGACAGGAAGUUCAAAAAUCAGGCUGGGCAGCAUAGCAAGCUCCAUCUCAAUGAAUAAGUAAAUAAACGAAAAAUAUAAGUCCUACCUAAAUGACGUCAAAAUCCACGGCUCCAGCUUAGGGGAACCUGCCUUUCACCUACUGUAAAUGUUUUCAGGAGCUUUAAGAUUCACCCAGUUUGGCCUUGGUCCCCCAUGCCUCCCCAUCUGCAGGACAGAACUGAGCAGACCUGGGAUCCUGCAUGCCCCACUCCUCACAAAAUCUCCCACCAACCAGGACUCUGUGCACCCAGAAGAGUGAAGGUCACCCCUCACCUCAGGCUCCCUGACUUAAUCAUUUCUGAUAAAAACCACUUUUGCCACGUAAGAUCUUCUCCACUUCCUGAACCAACCUUCCAACGCCACACCUUUCUCUCUCUCUUUAGAAAACAAAUGAAUAAAAUAAACAAAUAAAACAAAAAAGGAAGAAAGAAAAAGCAUGAGAAACAUAUAUGCAUGCAGAUACA